rnacentral:rRNA from 1 species
UACGGAGGGUGCAAGCGUUAUCCGGAUUCACUGGGGUUAAAGGGUGCGUAGGCGGGCAGGUAAGUCAGUGGUGAAAUCUCCGAGCUUAACUCGGAAACUGCCGUUGAUACUAUUUGUCUUGAAUAUUGUGGAGGUAAGCGGAAUAUGUCAUGUAGCGGUGAAAUGCUUAGAUAUGACAUAGAACACCAAUUGCGAAGGCAGCUUACUACACAACGAUUGACGCUGAGGCACGAAAGCGUGGGGAUCAAACAGG